AAACCCUAGCCGUCAAUCCACUCUCUCUUCCUCAAGUUCUCCACAAUUAAUCCAUCGGUUUCAAUCUUCAAAAGGUUGCUAGCACAUCUAGAAGAUUGAUUCAUCUUCCUCAAAUCGACGCAAGAGUUAAUUCGUGAUCGGAUCACGCAUCGAAGCGGUCGUCUAAUUCGAUCAAGGGCGUGAUUUCGUGUGGACGCGAGUCGAGGCCGGGCGCGUUCGCAGCUAAA
rnacentral:lncRNA from 1 species